UACAGAGGGAGCAAGCGUUAUCCGGAAUGAUUGGGCGUAAAGCGUUUGUAGGUGGCUUGUAAAGUCUACUGUCAAAUAUCAGGGCUCAACCCUGAGCAGGCAGUGGAGUACUCACAAGCUAGAGUGUGGUAGAGGUAGAGGGAAUUCCAUGUGGAGCGGUGAAAUGCGUAGAGAUAUGGAAGAACACCAGCGGCGAAAGCGCUCUACUGGGCCAAGACUGACACUGAGAAACGAAAGCCAGGGGAGCGAAAAGG
rnacentral:rRNA from 1 species